CAUAUUGGAGCGAUGUAAAACCCUGCGUUGCUUCUCGGCUUCGAGGCUAGCGAUAUUGAGACGGAUCUUCUCACCAUUGUCGGGUAGACCCGGACCUAAUUUGACAAGGUGCGAUUUGUUACGCUCCAGCAGCUCGUCUAGCGCGUGAUCGGUUAGGUUUCGGUGGCAGUCCAUCUGAUCGCCGGGGAGAGGAUUUUGGGUGUUGACAAUCACCAACUCCGGUACUUGAUGCUCUUUUCCGCCGCCGCCGGCGUCGUCUUCCAGCACCGAGUUCCAGUCAAUCGUAAAAGCUUUCUUGUCUGAAGAAUCCGACUCUUUUUCUACUUCAUGCUUCCCCUUCGUCAUUCCCAAACCGAGUUUUUUUUUUCUUUUAUUUAAUCGCACAUUGUCUUUGGUUCAGAAUCUUCACUCAGUUUUCUUUUUCCGGCCUCUCACCAUUCCCAAAUAAUUUUUUUUUCACUUUAAAAAAAAAAGUAUUUGGCAUUUUGACAUUAGAGCAAUUAUUUCAUGAAAAUUUACAUUUUAGAUCAUUUGUGUUACUUGGCAUAUUUUUACCAACAAACAUGUCUGCAAAAUUCCUAUAAUAUCCUUGAAUAGCUUUAAGGUAACAAAAAAAAAAACUAACUAAAUGAUCUGCCACAGAAAUGAUCUGCCACCAAACCCAACCACACUCUUAAAGUAAGGCUAAGCAACUGUCUAGAUUUUAAGUAGCUUACUAAAUUUUUCACCUGCACGAAUGUGCGGGUUGAUUUUUAUUUUAUAAAUAUAUAACAGAUACCAUCGUAAAACUUUCAAAGAUAUAAUUUACAUUUUAGUGUUAUAUAUUGUGUAAAUCUAUAAUAUUACUGGUUAUGUUUCUUAUUUGAUAUUAUUAAUGUAUAAUGAUUUAUUUUAUACAUUUUACUUUAUUAUUAAUUGUUAUUAUAUAUUAAUAUAUUUUAGAGUUUGGUAAAAUAAAUUCAUAGUAUGAAAUAAACAAAUUGAGAAUCUCCUUUGUUUUUUUCUAAUUUUUACAGACUGAGUACAACACAUUUUAAAAUUUUAUUUAGUUACUAUAGAACUGAUAUUUUCUUAGCAUAAUGUAUAUUUUAAUGUUAUUUAUUUUAGUAUAUUAUGGGAUUUUAUAAGUAAAUAGAUUAUAAUAAUACUAUAUUAUUAAUUAUGAAAUCAAUCGCUGCAUUAAUUUAAAAAUAUUUUAGAAUUUUAUCAAGAUUUUGUUAGAUUUUUUUCAACAUAUUUUAUUAUAAGUAAAAAUAAAAUUUAAAUUUACAGUUAAAAUUUAUUUAUUAAUAUCUAUAUAAUUUAUAAGAUAUUUUAGAAAUAAUAUAUAUUAAAUAUAUUAACUUAAAUAAUCAAAUAGAUGUAAUUGAUGAAAUAGACCUAGUAUGAAUUUUUAUGGUAUUUCUUUUAAUAAAGAAUACAUAGAAUAUAAUUAUAAAAUUUGAAAAAUAGCAUACACUUUUAUUUUAUUUUGUUUUAUGAUAAAAUCUUAUUUAAAUUAAUGUAUAAUAGUAUAUAUUAUUAAUUACGAAAUUAAUCAAUGGUAUUAAUUUAAAUAAAAUAUUUUAAAUUUUUAGAAAGAUUUGGUUAGAUUUUUUUCUCAACAUUUGUUAUAACUAAACAUAAAAUUUAAAUUUACAGUUAAAAUUGAUUUAUUAUUAAUAUUUUAUAUAUUUAAUAGAUUAAUGUAAAUAAUUAAAUAAAUGUAAUUAAUGAAAUUGAUCUAAUAAGACUAGUUUGACUUUUUUAUGGUAGAUAAAAAUGGUACUUAUCUUUUAAUAGAGAAGAUUACGAGGGUUAAUUUACAUCUAUCAACGAAAUUAAACUAGACCAAAGUUGAAAGUUUUGAAAAUCAGUUAAGGGUAUAUACACCCUUUCUUAUUUCUUGGAUAACAACAUAGAGAAUGCUGGUUCUGUACUAGCUAGUAGUAAGAAUUCAGAGUCAUGUAGAGAAUUGAGAACACACAUUUUUUCCCCGGCCGGAACUUGACUAAGCAAAAACCACACCGCUACUUGAAGUAUCGUAGCAGAAGACGAGACACAUAAUUUCGUCUUCAUGAGGCUCCUCAAUAAGGUUUAAGUAAAUCAUGGGCGUCAUCAACUACAAGGUAAAGUAAACAGAAAACAAAAAUCGUCAGACACCAACCAAGUUUGGUUCCAGGAAGAAGACAAUAGCUAAACACAAACUAGUGUAGACGAAUAAAUAAUUACCAACAUAUGACAUGUUACUAGGGUUGAAGCAAAGUUUUAACCAAUUUUCUUUUAAAAAGUAUAUAUAAGGAGUUUUCGCAAGUUCAGCAUCAGAUAAAUUGAGCAAUGAGCAUUGUUAGAAUUCAAACUCCCAUCCCAUAACACAUGCUUUUUUUUACUGUGUGCACAGCCAUAGAGCCGACACUGGUGCCAACUCAUUCUGGUGUAAUCUAUCUGUUUUAUUAUCCUGGUAAAGUUAUUGUUGCUGUGAAAAAUGUAAGCUGGGAAUGAAGAUGUUAGGAGAUUCCUAAUAGAAUAUCGGAUCAAACCAUGGAGAUCAGAUUAGGGAACUCCAAAAGUCUACCACCAUCAUAGUUAUUACUAAUGACUCCAGUCCAGCAACUGUGUAAACUAAGCUGAACGUCGAACCCUCUUGUAUCAACUCAAAGAUAAGAACACUCUUUAUAAAUCACUCUUAAGGAAACUCACUCAAAACCUUAAGCUCUCAAACUCAUAAACUCUUAAGUUAUAUCACAAGCUGAUAUCUCCUUAUAUAACACUUUAAUUAUCCUAAACUCAUUAGGAUAAACACAACACAAUAUUUCCUAAACUCAUUAGGAUAAACAUAACUUGUGAUCUAAGUAAUCUUCAAGCUUAUCCAACAUUCUCCCCUUUAAGCUUGAAGUUCUCCUUCAUUCCAAUAUAGCUUCUCAUUUCUUGGAAUCUGAUUCUUCCCAAGGCCUUAGUCAAGAUAUCAGCCUUUUGUUUAUCACCUUGAACAUACUCAACUUCAAUCUGUCCAUUCUCAACACAUUCUCUAAUAAAGUGGUACCUCCUGUGUAUAUGCUUACUCUUCCCAUGAAACACCGGAUUUUUUGUUAAAGCAAUGGCAGACUGAUUGUCAAUACGAAUCACCACCUUCUCGCUUUCCUGGCCGGUUAUCUCACUCAACAACUCUUGUAGCCAUAUGGCUUGACGUGCAGCCUCAGUUCCCGCCAUGAAUUCUGCUUCACAACUUGAUAAUGCCACUUUCAGACGUUUUUAACAAUAUUAACUUCCAGAAAAGUAAGGAACUACAGUGAUGAGAUCGCCUAUACAAACAAAAUUAAAACUCUGUUAGAGCGGUGAGCUAUCUCUUGACUUGGAUGCUCCAUUGUCAUCAGAUGGGUCGUUGUGGCGAUCAGUCUGGUCACUGACACAGAAAAGAUUGAUGAGUGUGUUUCGGAUUUCGGUUCUCAGAGCAGAGGCUUCGUCAGGUUUGAACCACUUCUUGUCGAACUGAAUGAAUCGAAGCACACAAGUUAAUACAAGGCUAAAUGAUUUGGUACUAGGAAUAGAGCGUGAGACCACUCACCAUUCCAAGGUCUUUCCUUUUCAGCCUUUGAGGAGCCUCUUCAAUGAACCGCUUGAUGAAGAAGAGAACAAACGGACCACAGUCAAAAUCAUUCUUCUGUUGUGGAACCUGUUGCACAAAGAGAAUACCUUAAAGAUGUAUUGAUAUGAUCCUCUUGCUGUUUAAUUAGUCAAAUUUUCACAAGGAAAGAUGGGACAAUUAAAGGUAAAAGACCUGACCUUAAUAUCAGCUUCGUUAAUCCUGCGCGGGAGGUUUCUCCAUAGUUUCUCUGAGAUAGGUAGAUUUGAUGAAUAAUCAUCAUCCUGAUUCAAAAAGUUCCAUUCAUCUUUUAGAAACCUGCACAAUGUUUGACAUAUAUGCCUCUCCAUUAACGUACUGAAACUACAUAUGCAUAAAAACGACAAACAUGUGAAAAGAUAAAGCUCCUGGUGGGUUCCAUACCUUUUUACAUUCUCAACAAUUGAUCUUUUCGGAUGAACUCCUAAUGAAUCAAGGUGAAGUAUGGUCAAUCCGGAUUCAUCUUCCUUGUCAGGAAUGCAAACUAUUAUAAGGCUCCAAUGGACACUGAGACAUGGUAUAAGAAUCAUGGUGAAUACAUAGAUUAACUGAAAUUUUAUAAAAAACAGUCUAAAGAUUUUGAUUUUGUUUUCAUCAAGUUGUAAAACUUACUCCUCAUGUAUUGGUAUAAAUAUAUAUGCCUUACGGAAUAAAUCAAUACCCUUCCACCACCGCCUGAGCUUCAGAAAAGAGGCAGCCUUGUCAUUUCCCUAUUUUAUUGAAAUGAAAAAGUCAAUGAUUUAAAAAUGUAACAAGAGAUUAAACUGUGGAUCCUUCAAACAGAACACAGUGCACUAGACAACCAUUGAUCACCUUGUUUGUAACAGCGUCACUGAGCUUCUUGUAGAAAUAGGUGUUAAAGAAGUGACAAUAGUUAGAUACCUGCUGCUCCUGCAAGAACCUACCCAAAGAAAAAGGGACCGUGCAAACAUUAACUUUUUUUGCAUAAACUCGUUAUACACUUAUUAUAUGAAAAAUGAUUGCAAGUACAAUACAAGUGACACCUGAUGUAGAAAUUCAUGACUGGAGAGUUUAGAAAUUCUUGAGGUGCAAGGCAUUCAAGAUCUUUAAGACAAACUUGAACAAAGUGUGGAUCAUCACUGGAUCACCAGAUGAAGUCAAGAGAAGAAUCAUUAUCGAGAGUGAUGAAGUGAAGAGAAACAUCAUCGAGAGUUAUGGUAAGUAAAGAAUCAAUCUUGAAUUCAUUAAAAAGAAAAAAGAAUCAAUCUUGAGAAAAAAUUACCUUGAUGGGUAGCAUAUAUCUUCCUGUAAGCUGCAUGGUUCAUCAAAUACUAGAUUAUGUUAAAGCUGAAACUGAAACUUAAUGAAGAUAAACAGAGAAGGUUUACCCUUCAGGCAGUUCAACUGUUUGAUCUGCCACCGUUGAAGGCUGAGGUUCUUCUUCGUCUAUGUUAAUCACUGAAUCAUCUGCUUUCUACAGUUUUUUUUUUCAGAGAAUGUUAUCAGUAGGUUGGAAGCACAGACAAGUAGCAAUGCUGGAGUAUAUUUCUUGAGGGCUAUAAUUAUUGCGCACAAAAAUGCAAUAUAUGAUGCGAGCAGUAAGCAAUAAAUACCUUACGGCGCUUUGAACUCUGUGAUGGAUAUUCUUCCCAAGACCACUCCCUGCAAGAGAAAGAAGUUAAGAGGAAUACACAACCAUUGGAAUCCAAGCAUCAACACACACUAGUAUCAAAAACCAGUUGGAAAAAGGAGAAAAGAAACAUACUUAGGAGUUUCAUGUCCAUUGGAGUCGUCAUCAUCAUCAUCAAGAAGGGAGUAAGUGCAAGACUCCUUGUACUUUUUCCUCCCAUAAGAUCCCUUGGAUUUGUGAUUCCCUGUCUGCUUUUCUUCCACUGCCUUUGACAAAAUCCGCCAUUCAUUCUUCUGCCUUGUCACGAUCUUUUUCUCAGCCUUGGGUUUCACACUUGCACACCCCAAAUCUUCUAGUUCUUUACAAAACGCUUUCGUUGACUGAGUAUUAUCCGGCUGUUGAACACAUAUAUCACAAAGUUGCAUCAUGAAGUAGCCAUCAAAAACAGUGUAAAUAGCAUAAUAGUGAAGAAUCUCCAUACUUUGGGUUUACUGAAAACAGCAGCAAAUGUAGACCGUGAGACUUCUUUCGAGUCCGUAUUCGUUUGUCUAGAGGCUUCUGUUGAAGCUGCAUUCCCUCGCGUAAACACAUCUGAACCUAUGUGAAACCCAAACUGGGAGAUCAAUCCUCCAAAAACCAUAAAGAAUAAAACUUUGAGCUUCACUAGUGAGAAGGUAACAGUCCCAAGAAAGGGUCCUAAUAGUUACUUGAGCUUAACCAUCUCUAACAUUGUCUAAAGAUGGAACAAGAUACCUGAGGUACUCGCAUGCAUGAGCUUCGAACUUCUGUCCGCAUCCUGCAAAAGUCAAAGACUCAUAUAACAUAACCAUCUCUAACAAUAAAAAGAUAAAGUUUUGGCCAGACCCCAACAUCGACAAGGAUCCAAAAAAAAAAGACAAGACAAGAAAAAAGAAAUCAAACUAGUUGUAGUGAGAAUGCGAACCAUAUUGGAGCGAUGUAAAACCCUGCGUUGCUUCUCGGCUUCGAGGCUAGCGAUAUUGAGACGGAUCUUCUCACCAUUGUCGGGUAGACCCGGACCUAAUUUGACAAGGUGCGAUUUGUUACGCUCCAGCAGCUCGUCUAGCGCGUGAUCGGUUAGGUUUCGGUGGCAGUCCAUCUGAUCGCCGGGGAGAGGAUUUUGGGUGUUGACAAUCACCAACUCCGGUACUUGAUGCUCUUUUCCGCCGCCGCCGGCGUCGUCUUCCAGCACCGAGUUCCAG
rnacentral:lncRNA from 1 species